GAUGGCCCAUCAAACAUGGCAACCUGUUCUGAGGAAAACAUGUUGAGGAGGACUGGUCAUACUGGCACAAACAUCUGUAUUUGUUUUCUGGAGCUACUAUUUAGUUCCCUAGUCAAGAUAACAACAGAGCUAACGCUAAACUAGUUUGUUCCCGGGGAAAUCUUGUGUUUGUAGCCGAAAACAGGAGACCAAAGGGCGGAUCGACGGGUUGUACCUCCCGCCGGCUCCAGGGACUACGAGACGUCACGUCUCUCCUCCGUUGCUAAGCAGCUGUUACUCAGCAACCAGCUGUUUCCAGCCUCAAGGGACUGACAGAAACUACCUGAGGAUAAUUCAUACUCACCAACUAAGAGCUGACUGCAGAGAAUCACAGGCCAGAACUCAUUUACAGCGAGAAUGCAUCACAGCGAGUGGGACAGUGGAUGCAGCUCAUCACAGGGAUAUAAGGCCAAAUGCUUUUGAAGAGAACCAGGCUGCAGGGAUUUGCUCUCAGUCAGACACAAGAGCAUCAGUGAGGUCGGGCCCUGAUGUUGGGAGACGAGGCCUCACAGUCAGCGCUCCAGUUUGACCCAAAGGUGCUGGAUGGAGUUGAGCAGACUGACAGAGUGGAAGCCUACAAUGCAGGAAAGCUGAUGAGUAUGCAAAUGACUGAGACGGAAAGAGAGAGAGAGAGAGAGAGAAAUGAAAGCAGAGAGGCAGUAGCGGAGAGUGAUAUGUGUCAUUUGGUGAUGUCAUGCAGCCAAGCGUCCAGGGUGACAGCGGCGGUGGUAACGGCCUGAGUCAGAGGAUGACAUCAACGCAACAAGCCGUCAGACAGGUUGUGAAAGGGCUUAGUCCCACGCUCCCAUUGUCCUCUGGUUUAAUGCUGUUAUUCAGCCCGCCACCGGCCUUACCAUUUGUUAAUCUGACCUAACACACAGUUAAACACAGGACAAAGACACACAAACAGCCAAUUUAAAGGCCAGCGGCAGAAAUGUCAGCCUGUAAUACACCAUCACAGCUUUUUCAAUACAAAAGAAGAAGCACACAGUUUUUUGAGUGAGGUCAGGCAACGAACAUUUACAAGCAGACAGAUUCAGCAACGCUUGAAUUGAUUAGCUCAGUGUUUGGCUUCUAAUGUAGACGUGUAUGAAAACAUAUAGAUUCAUCAGAGGAUCAUUCUUGUGAUUUUCUAUAUUUGUCUUCCCAUACAACUAAACUGAAUUCCCAAUUAUGUUUCGAGGGAAACGUAUUUUGUCACGGAUUACAUUUGUCUUUGACGCAUCUAAUAGUCCGCUGAAGGCCACAGCAAGUGACGUAGUACAU